CGUGCCUAACACAUGCAAGUCGAACGAGAAGUGGAGCUUGCUUCACGAGUAAAGUGGCAGACGGGUGAGUAACACGUGAACAAUCUACCCUCGAGUGGGGAAUAACACCGCGAAAGCGGUGCUAAUACCGCAUAAUAUCCCCAAGUCGCAUGGCCUGGAGAUCAAAAGCGCAAGUUGCUUGAGGAGGAGUUCGCGCCUGAUUAGCUUGUUGGUGAGGUAACGGCUCACCAAGGCAACGAUCAGUAGCCGGCCUGAGAGGGCGAACGGCCACACUGGAACUGAGACACGGUCCAGACUCCUACGGGAGGCAGCAGUGGGGAAUUUUGCGCAAUGGGCGAAAGCCUGACGCAGCAACGCCGCGUGGAGGAUGAAGGCCCUCGGGUCGUAAA
rnacentral:rRNA from 1 species